ensembl:lncRNA
GCAUAAUUUAGCACUUGUUCAUUCUGCUAACAGUUAUACUCUUCCUCUAUUUAUAGUUCUGUGUGAGAACUAUGUAGAAAACACAGGGAAGGGGAGAAAACACAGUCCCUUCACUUGAAGACUUUAUAAUCAUGUUGGAAAGAAAGAAAGAACACAUGUGAAACUACUAGACAAUUGUUUCUGGUGACAAUACUUACUCAGCGUCUGUAAAGAGAAGGCCUCUUUGCAAGCUGUAUGUAUGUGGAGCUGUGGGUAGAUUUAUCAUAAAUAUGGUUAGAGCUCAGUCCUUGCCAUCUGUGCAAGCUAUUAGGGAGAAUAAGGCACAAAUCUUUAUAAUGAUAAAGCAAUUAAGCUGAACCUUGAAAGAGAAAGGAAAACUUUCAGUGAAUAGAGAUAGACCAGAUGUCAUUCCAAGUGGAGGGCACAACCUUGGGUAAGAAAAGAAAGUUUGGGAUAUGUUUGUGAACACUGAGUCGUCCUGUUUGGAUGGAGGACAGAUAUACAUGAAAGGGAACUGAGUGGGGAGACCAGAAGGAGAGAUUAGAGCUCAGGUCUCUCAGGAGGGGGGGUCUCGAAUUCCUAACUGCAGAGUUUAGAUUAUAUUUGUUAAGCCAUCAAACAUUUCAAAGCAAGGGAGCAAUCUCAGCUCUCUGUUAACAAGAAUAUUUGUCUGAUGGCUGCAUAAGGGCUGAGUUGAGGCGCUCAGAGAUGGAGGAUGGAAGGUCUGUUCAGAAGCUUUGGAAGAUAAGGGAACAAAUAAAAUUUUAAUAUAAAAAAGAAAAGGAAAAGUUAGUCAUAAUGAUUAAUGAUAAACAAAUACUCCUUAAAAGUGUCUAAGCCUACAGGUAAUAUGAUAAUUACUAGUAGAAAAAAUGAAAUACUAAAGGCAAGAAGCCCAUUCUUCCCAUUUUAAAAAUAUUGAUCUAGAAGUCCUAAGCAGAAGUGAAGUUGGCUGGAGCAGACUUGAGAGACACUGCAGAGGUGAGAUUGACAGACUUUGCCCCCAGAACAGUGCCUGGCUGUUAGUAGGUAUUCAAUAAAUAUUCCUCAAAUGAAUGAGUAAUUUUCUGUCCUCCUCUUAUAACUGGUUCUCCAGGGUAAGACCUCUCUCUUUCUCUCUACUUUUUUCACACUACAUUCCCAGAGUCUGGCAUAUAGUAGGCAUUCAACGAAUGCCACCUCAUUAGAUAUGGAAUUGAGAGAGAUGGAGAAGUGAAAGAUUAUCCAGUUUUAAACUGAAUUCAAUGCAAUGCUAGUGGCAUGUUUUCUUUCACAAAUAGUAAUGGAGAAGUUAGAAGGAGGGGCUGGUUUGGAGAAGAUUUGUUCACUUUUAAACUGCUGCGUUUGAAAAACUAGGAGGAUUAUCUAGAAGGUGAGAUCUAGCAGACAGUUGAAAACAUGGAAGUUGAACUAGAUAAGUUGGAUUGGAGGUAAAGAUCUGGGAGCAUCUGCAUAGACAUGUUAAUUGAAACAGGAGGAGUACUUGAGAUCACCAGAAAGGAGGUGUAGAAAAGGAAGAGAAACUGGGUUGAGGACAAAUCCUGGGACAUACUUGUAUUUUAAGUGAGGCACAAGAGGAGCCGAGGAAGGAGAUAGAAGUAAGUUAGUCAGAGUUGGGAGGCAAACUGUAUUCCAAUCAAAGGUGAGGGAAGACGAUUUUCAAGAAGGUAGUGAACAGCUCCAUCAAAUUCAAUAGUAAGAUUAGUGAGGCUAGAAUUCAAUAAAAACUAUUCCAUCCAGAAGUUACAGAGUGUUUCAGAGUUUGCAUGUGUGGGAAGGAGUGUGGGAAAUGAAAUCAGAUGUAAAUGGACAAGGUAUGAGAUGAAGGGAGUAGAUACAGAUUGCUCUCUCAAGAAAUUUGCUGGGAAAGGGAGGGAGGAGAGAGAAAAGAUAGAGGUAUUUGACUAGUUUCUUUGUAGAUGCCCCACCAUUAAGUGAAUAACUUGCCUCAAAUUUUCAAACUACACGCUAGUGUAGUUUAGGGUCUGUCACAUCACAUCCCAUGAUAUAUUGCCAAUGGCCAGUUACAAAUAGUUGCUGUGACCUCCUAAAGCAGCGGCAUGGACUGGAUUCUACAGAAGAAGAUGCAGAAGAGGAAAUAGAAGGAACAGCAAGAGACAGCAGGAUAAAACAAUGGGAAGGAGAGAAGACGUCCGCUGAGACUGAGGACUGCGAGUCCAGGCAGUAAUUCAAAGGGCUGCUGGGACUGCCUUUCACCUACGAUAUUCCACAGUGACUAUCGUUGAAUUGAAUGCAAUCCUUUGUACAUCUUCUUUGAUUAAAAAUUUACCAAUAAAUACAUAUUUUCAGGAAGGUUCUGAAGGCUUGGGAACUGUGGAAUUGGUAUGAGAUAAUCAACGAAGAAUAGCAAAGAGUCCUGUCAUCCAGUCAGUUUUUAAUAUUCACGAAAUGGAUGUGCUAACAGCUGCUGUCUAGAAAAUCAUGAUAUCCCAAUAAAGGUGCCAAGUUAAUGAAUUCUGAAGAAUCCACGACAUGACCUUUCUAUUCCAUCUGGUUCGGGUAACAGACUUUUGCAAUUUCUGUGGGGUCAUUUGGGACUUUUAAUGUAUGUAAUCAAGGAGUGAAUACAGGAAAAGGGCUAAUGUCCAGGAGCAAAAACAACAUAGUCUUCUUAGGCAUCUCAACACUAAUCAUCUCAACUGACCUCUGGAGAACGAAGUAGUUGGGUGUGUGUUUGUUUCUGGUCUUCAAUCUUACCUAACAAUUUAUAGUCAUGCGCCCCAUGACAAUGUUUCAGUCAACGACGGACGGCAUAUAUGAUGGUGGUCCCAUAAGACUAGUACCAUGGAGCCUACGUGUGUAGUAGGCUGUACCAUCUUGGUUUGUGUAAGUACGCUCUAUGAUGUCCACACAACCACAAAAUCACCUAAUGGUGCAUUUCUCAGAACGUAUCCCUGAGUUAAGUGACACAUGACUUUGUAUCAAAAACUCAAGAGCAAAUGGCACGGUUGUGCUAUGGUGAUAGGCACCCUGGAGAUGGAUACAAAGAAAGAUUUCUUUUGGCAUCAUUGUUUUUGGAAGUUAUGGGCUCAUGGCUUGGGUGUGCAGGUUGCUGUGAAUGAGAUGAACAAAACACCUUGUUAAAAUUGGCCACUGUUCCCCGGUAGAGCCUAGAUUCCCUUAGCGGAGACUGACACCAAGAAGAAUUCUCGCUUCCACUUACAACGUGGCACUUCCUGAUUCCUUUACUUUUUUCUUCCUCCUUUAAGAGGACAACAAAGUAUUCGGCAAUAGUCAGCCGCAGUAUAGAGACUCGGAACUGUCACUCACUGUGUGUUACAGGUGUCUCCCAGGCUCUCCAUGUUUUACAGAGAAAGCAGGACCAGGGAGAGGGGCACGCAGGAGAGAGAAGGCUGCUAUACACACUUGCAGCUGAUCCUUCAGUCCCCACCCUUCCCCAAUCUCACCUUACCCCUCCCUGCUUCCCAGACUACCCGCUGAUCUUGUGUUAUUUAUUUUCUCCCCUAAAUGGGUGCUUGCAGUUUACCUCAACUCAGUUUCACCUGGAUACAGAUGUAAAUAGGAAUGAAGCCCUAUUUCGAGACAUGAGAACUUGAAUUUUUCAUGCAGUCUGGAUCUAGCAUAUAAGAGUCAAUGGAAAUGUAAAAGGGGACGAUUUGCUCCAGUGAAGCUUUUCCUGUCCUCUUAAAAGAAAGUGACUCUUGGUUUGCUCUGGCCACCUGAUCAAGUCUGGAGUCCUGGGGUCUCACCCUACCACCGACUUCAGUGUGAGCCUGAUAAAUCCACAGCAUGAACUCUGAGAGAUUCCGGAAUUUCUCAGUUUCUAUCAGUGUCAAAGGGGGACUAAUGUUCCUGCUCUCUCCGGGUUGUUAUGAGAAUCACGAGCUAAGGUAUUUGAAAGCUGCUGACACAGUGCUUCUCGAGAGUCUGCCUCUUUGUCAGCUUUUACUUGAGCUACUGAAAGCACUCUUUCUCCCGAAAAAUGCUCGGGAACGCGAGGGCAGAGUGACACAUUGUCUUAGUAUCAUGAGGAAUACAGUUAAUGGGAAAUGACUUCAGUUUACUGCAUCUGCUAGUAAUCCUGUGAUGCCAUCACCAAACAGAAAGCACAUGACUACUCGUAAGCUCCCUGCACCUGAAAAAGAAAUUGGAUUCGAUUCAGAAAAUCAGGCUGUAAAGCUAAUCACUUUGAUCCAAUAACGUGGCCCUGCCGAGUGGCAUCAUCAGCCCUCAGACACAGAGAGGAGGAGGGAGAGUGAGCACUCGGGGAGGCAGCUGCUCAGCUCUGCAGACACUCAAGCCAAUGAAAAAUUCAUAAGGAGACGUUUUGUAGCCAAUGUCUAACACCACUGCUGGGUCACAAGCUGAUCUGAGCCAAUCAAUAGUAUUCAUCAUCUUGAAAGAAACUAGUGAUUGCACAUUUAUGAGAAGGGGCAGGUUUCCAAGCCAACGCCAGUUUCUGGUUACUUGCUGUGUGUCACCUUUAAAAAUAUAGAACUUAUUUUGAAAAUGGAACCCAAGACCUUUAAAAAAAUUUUUUGUAGGCGGAGCAGAAGAGGUGCUUUUCAAAUCCAGAGGGGAAAAUAUUUGAAUUCUUUUUGAAGUCAACCCAAGGACUAGUAUUUAAAUUGAAGCUGCUUGUUUGGUUCCAUUUUUGGUGGCCAUUCUUUGUAUGUGAUUUCUUUUUACUCAGCACCGGAGAUUUUUUUAAUAACACUAGCAUCUGUGUCAAAUUCUCCCAGAUACAGAUAGAAAUACAUGAGAAUGAAAUCAUAAAAAGAAAAAUAAAUGGAGUCAACUUUAUCAUUAUAUAUCAUUAAAUUCCAGGUAGGUUUGAUUUUUAAAAGCUUUAAAAGAUCAAAGAAACUUUAACUUGAGUUUGAGGGUUUGCUUUCUGCACAGGCAAUGAUUCAAGGGCAGAGGGAGGUGGAGACAGCGAGAUGACCUUAAGGGUUAUGUGCUCAGAAGCCGGCCAAGGAUUUCAAGGGAAACCGCACGUCAGCCCGGCUAGGUGAAUUAAACAUCAAGAGCUCACAAAUGAAAAGUCUUGGGAAGUCAACUUGUGAAGUAGGAAGGCAGAAGAAGAAGAGGAUAAAUAGUUUCAUCCUCUGCCUGUUGAUGGUGUUAGGGAAGAAGCUAUGCCCUUGCAUCUUGGUAAACAAGAUCUCUCAAGGAUAUCACUUCAUUGUUUUCACCAUAGCGUGAGCUCCUCUUUGGCUUCACAGUGGACGAUAAGUUCCCCGCGUUGGCUGCCUCUUGGAGUCACUGUCUGGUGAGCCUCCAAGCAACCCAAUGCCUGGGGCUGGGCCCUGCCUCACUGUAGCCACGUCCCAAGGAGGGCUCUGGCCACCCGGACUUCCCCAGCAAUCCCUGCUUGACCAGCACCAGGAACGGACGAGCCCUUCUGAGGGAGAGGCCUGAGACCAGGAGACCCUCUGUAACCACUGCUCAGCAUCCAGGAUCAGGCCAGAGGAAAGAAAGUUUGGCUGUGAGGGAACUGCCUGAGAGAUGACUGAGUCAGUUCUCAGAAGAAGGUCCUGAGGGGAGAGAGAACCCCUGGGAGAGGCCCUAGCGACCUCGUCAUCCUCUUGGGCCUAAUCCUUUUGGCAGGGAAGUCUCUUUCUGACAGGAAGUGGUAACAUCCUGGCUUUGGUGCAGCCAGGCAGGAUCACAAUGAGAGGGUAGAAUUCACUCAGAAACCAGAGUGGUAGCAACCUUGGAGGGGGUCUGCCGUGCCCCUAGCUCCCAUGUUGUACUCUAGCAAUGGUUUUCAAAGUGUGGUCCCCGGACCAGCAGCAUCAGCAUCCCCUGAGAAUGCGUUAGAAAUGCAAGUUCUUGGCCCAUCCCAGACCAACUCAGUCAGAAACUCAGGGGCGGGAUUCCCAGCAAUCGGUGUUCUCAUGAGCCCUGCAGAUGAUGCUGACACGCUCCAAGUUUGAGAACCACUGCCCCACUGGAACAGAUGGGGAGAGGAGAAGGGCGAGGAGAGGAAGUCCGGGUGGUUUCCUUCUUUCCCAGGCCCUCUCUGAGGACUGGCUAAGUCCUGCCCGAUAUUCUUAUCUCCAUUUCUUUUAUUUGCUUGAGCUGGUUUCAGUGGAUUUCCGAAGUAAAGAGUUCUGAGUAACAAAGCAGGGAUCAUUUGAAAAAAACUGUAAGGAAAUGAAGCUUCGGGGUUCCCAUGGUCCCUGCUUCAGCAUCGCCCCCUUUGAGUACCCACAAAGCCUCUGCUCAGAAAGCCUGGUGGUGACUAGUGCCCCUGGUCCCUCCUUUCUGGGCAAAGAGACAGAGCAUGCUAAAAUGGUUUGUCCCUCAGAAUUGAGCCAAGAAAAAAAUCGGAUAUAUGCAUGAAUAUUUAUGUACAAAGAUGUUCAUCUCAGUAUUAUUACACAGGACAAAAUGAGGAGGAGGACAAGCCAAAUAGCUAAGAGUAUAGGUCAGAUAAAUUAUGGCAAACUUGUAUAAUGGAAUGCUAUGCAGCCACUGAAUACGAUGUUAGCAUAAAAUACUUGGUGUCAGGGGGGAAUGGUCUCAAUAUAAUGUUAAGUGAUAAAAGAUGGAUAAAAAACAGUGUGCACAGUGUGUACACAUAUGCGUAGAAAAAAACUAGAGGUAAGC